rnacentral:rRNA from 1 species
AGCGAACGCUGGCGGCAGGCCUAACACAUGCAAGUCGAACGAACUCUUCGGAGUUAGUGGCGGACGGGGGUGUAACACGUCGGAACGUGCCUUUAGGUUCGGAAUAACUCAGGGAAACUUGUGCUAAUACAGAAUGUGCCCUUCGGGGGAAAGAUUUAUCGCCUUUAGAGCGGCCGGCGUCCGAUUAGCUGGUUGGUGAUGUAAAGGCUCACCAAGGCGACGAUCAGUAGCUGGUCUGAGAGGAUGAUCAGCCACAUUGGGACUGAGACACGGCCCAAACUCCUACGGGAGGCAGCAGUGGGGAAUCUUGCGCAAUGGGCGAAAGCCUGACGCAGCCAUGCCGCGUGAAUGAUGUAGGUCUUAGGAUUGUAAAAUUCUUUCACCGGGGACGAUAAUGACGGUACCCGGAGAAGAAGCGCCGGCUAACUUCGUG